rnacentral:rRNA from 1 species
AGAGUUUGAUCCUGGCUCAGAACGAACGCUGGCGGCGUGCUUAACACAUGCAAGUCGUACGAGAAAUUCUCCGCAAGGUGAAUAGUAAAGUGGCGAACGGGUGAGUAAUAUAUGGGUAGCCUACCUUUUAGAGGGGAACAACUUUGCGAAAGCGAAGCUAAAACCCCAUAAAACCAUGGUUUCUUAGGAAACUGCGGUAAAAAGUGGCCUCUACAUGUAAGCUACUGCUAAAAGAUGGGCUCAUAUCCUAUCAGCUAGUUGGUGGAGUAAUGGUUUACCAAGGCUAAGACGGGUAGCUGAUCUGAGAGGAUGAUCAGCCACACUGGAACUGAGAUACGGUCCAGACUCCUACGGGAGGCAGCAGUGGGGAAUCUUGCGCAAUGGGCGAAAGCCUGACGCAGCAACGCCGUGUGAGUGAAGAAGACUUUCGGGUUGUAAAGCUCUGUCGGAUGGGAUGAAGUCUCAAAUCUGAUAAUACCAGAAGUGGGAUGACUGUACCGUCAAAGGAAGCACCGGCCAACUCCGUGCCAGCAGCCGCGGUAAAACGGGGGGUGCAAGCGUUGUUCGGAAUCAUUGGGUGUAAAGGGCGCGUAGGUGGAUAAAAAAGUCUAAUGUGAGAUCCCUCAGCUCAACUGAGGAAGGGCAUUAGAUACUUUUUGUCUAGAGUACGGGAGAGGGAAGCGGAAUUCCCGGUGUAGAGGUGAAAUUCGUAGAUAUCGGGAGGAACACCAGUAGCGAAGGCGGCUUCCUGGAACGAUACUGACACUGAGGCGCGAAAGCGUGGGGAGCAAACAGGAUUAGAUACCCUGGUAGUCC